AGCAGCCGCGGUAAUUCCAGCUCCAAUAGCGUAUAUUAAAGUUGUUGCAGUUAAAAAGCUCGUAGUUGAAUUUCGGGGUUAGUAGAUUGGUCAUGCCUUUGGUAUGUACUGGUCUUACUGAUUCCUCCUUCCUGAUGAACCGUAAUGCCAUUAAUUUGGUGUUGCGGGGAGACUGGACUGUUACUUUGAAAAAAUUAGAGUGUUUAAAGCAGGCUCACGCUUGAAUACAUUAGCAUGGAAUAAUGAAAUAGGACGUUUGAUUCUAUUUUGUUGGUUUCUAGGAUCGACGUAAUGAUUAAUAGGGAUAGUUGGGGGCAUUAGUAUUCAAUUGUCAGAGGUGAAAUUCUUGGAUUUUAUUGAAGACUAACUACUGCGAAAGCAUUUGCCAAGGAUGUUUUCAUUAAUCAAGAACGAAAGUUAGGGGAUCGAAGACGAUCAGAUACCGUCGUA
rnacentral:rRNA from 1 species